UGGGGAAUUUUGGACAAUGGGCGCAACCCUGAUCCAGCCAUGCCGCGUGAGUGAAGAAGGCCUUCGGGUUGUAAAGCUCUUUCGUCAGGGAAGAAAUCGUCGGGCUAAUACCUUGGGUGGAUGACGGUAUGAAUAAUAANGACCGGCUAACUACGUGCCAGCAGCCGCGGUAAUACGUAGGGUGCGAGCGUUAAUCGGAAUUANCUGGAGCGUAAAGCGUGCGCAGGCGGUUNGUGAUCAAGACAGGAUGUGAAAUCCCCGGGCUUAACCUGGGAACUGCACUUGUGACUGCAAGGCUAGAGUACGGCAGAGGGGGNNUGGAAUUCCGCGUGUAGCAGUGAAAUGCGUAGAUAUGNNGGAGGAACACCGAUGGCGAAGGCANUCNCCUGGGCCUNAUACUGACGCUCAUGNACGAAAGCGUGGGGAGNAAACAGGAUUAGAUACCCUGGUAGUCCACGCCCUAAACGAUGUCAACU
rnacentral:rRNA from 1 species